rnacentral:lncRNA from 1 species
AGAAGCUCACCGUAAAGGAAACUAUGUUGCUGCCAUUUGACGUCAAAGCGCAUCGAUAACUGAUUCAGUAAUUGGCAACUACUCCUCUAUCAAUGUGUAUGCACAUGGAGACUUGGACUGUCAGAUAAGGGCAGAACGCCAACAACCAAGGCAAGAAGAAUGUGAAAAAGGAUUCAGUAUGUUCAAGAACCCCAAGCCUGACGUGCAUGAAGUUUGGUGUCGUGACUCGGAUUGGGGGACCUCCCUUGGGAG